GUCGCCUCACCCAACCCCUACACCUUUGCCAAACCCCAAUCCCUAAUCCGGCGGCGGCAACAGUGACUCCUACGCCUGCGUUCUUCCUCUCCCAGAUGUCGUGCCUCGUCUCUCUUCUCCCCGGCCGCUGUGGAGGAGCCACGGUGCUCGGGCUACCGUGAGCAGCAGAGGACCGAGCUCCAUCCUUCUCCACUACAAAGCACCGCCCCUCUUCCACCCACUCCUUAGCCACCGUGUCCGACCUCAACCCUAACUAGCUAGCCCCACGGCUCCACCCGUAGGAGGAUCCCCUCCAGGAGGAGCAUCUGUUGCGAAGGGGGCCGGGCCAUGGAGAACCCCUCCCACGCGUCUCUCCAUGGGUAGUGACAACAUGGCGGAGAGGAGAGGAGGAGGAGGAGCACGUUAACAUCCAUCCCUCUCCACCUCUCCCCCAGCGCCAAUGUGAUGAAGUUGUUGCGGUGGGUAUGAUCAUGUGCUAGAACCUGGAAGAAAAAGUGGGGCAUGCCGGUAGAGGAAAGGCGGCAGUGUAGUUCUGCAUGGCUGCUCUGACCCUCACACAAUGACAAUUAGUUCCCAUCCGGUCUGACCUUGUUGUGUGAAGGAACAGGUCCAUAGAGAAUCCGCUCCCACGCGGGUUCAAUGGCAUGCCGUGCCAAGAGAGGAAGGCUGCUCCGACCCUAACACCAUGGAAGGUCGCCCAUCUCCUUUCUCUGUUUGGUUCUUCUAGGUCGGUUUAGUAUUUUCCCUCUCUCUUUCCAAUGGGGUUUAAACAUGAGUAGAUUCAAUAGUCAAUCAAUUUUGUCACCCAAGAAGUUGAAGAUUAUUGUGUCUGCUGCAAUUAUGGGAUUACUAUCACAGAAUUAAAUACUACCUUCUUGCUGUUCG